GACUACAAUUUAAAUCCUUUAAGAAGGAUCCAUUGGAGGGCAAGUCUGGUGCCAGCAGCCGCGGUAAUUCCAGCUCCAAUAGCGUAUAUUAAAGUUGCUGCAGUUAAAAAGCUCGUAGUUGAAUCUCAGUUACAGGCAGGUGGUUCACUUUACAGUGUUACUACCUGCACUGAACCUAUUGCUGGAUCUCAUGGGUGCCCUUCACUGGGUGCCCAUUGAGGACAGACGUUUUACUUUGAGAAAAUUAUAGUGCUCAAAGCAGGCGAAUGCCUGAAUAGUUGUGCAUGGAAUAAUGAAAUAUGGCCUCGGUGUUGUUUUGUUGGUUCACGAUGCUCGAGGUAAUGGUUGAAAGGGACUGACGGGGGCAUUCGUAUUGCGACGUUAGAGGUGAAAUUCUUAGAUCGUCGCAAGACGGACUACUGCGAAAGCAUUUGCCAAGAAUGUCUUCAUUAAUCAAGAACGAAAGUCAGAGGUUCGAAGGCGAUCAGAUACCGCCCUAGUUCUGACCUUAAACGAUGCUAACUGGCGAUCCAGGAGGGGUAUUUAAAUGACCCUCUGGGCAGCUUCUGGGAAACCAAAGUAUUUGGGUUCCGGGGGAAGUAUGGUUGCAA
rnacentral:rRNA from 1 species